GAUGAACGCUGGCGGCGUGCCUAAUACAUGCAAGUCGAGCGAACAGAUGAGGAGCUUGCUCCUCUGACGUUAGCGGCGGACGGGUGAGUAACACGUGGAUAACCUACCUAUAAGACUGGGAUAACUUCGGGAAACCUGAGCUAAUACCGGAUAAUAUAUUGAACCGCAUGGUUCAAUAGUGAAAGACGGUUUUGCUGUCACUUAUACAUGGAUCCGCGCCGCAUUAGCUAGUUGGUAAGGUAACGGCUUACCAAGGCAACGAUGCGUAGCCGACCUGAGAGGGUGAUCGGCCACACUGGAACUGAGACACGGUCCAGACUCCUACGGGAGGCAGCAGUAGGGAAUCUUCCGCAAUGGGCGAAAGCCUGACGGAGCAACGCCGCGUGAGUGAUGAAGGUCUUCGGAUCGUAAAACUCUGUUAUUAGGGAAGAACAAAUGUGUAAGUAACUUUGCACGUCUUGACGGUACCUAAUCAGAAAGCCACGGCUAACUACGUG
rnacentral:rRNA from 1 species